GUUAGGUUCUCCUUCGCCAGUCGACCCGCCCGGGCAGCGCCCCGGGCGAUACAGGGAAUCCGGUGCGAAUCCGGAGCUGACGCGCAGCGGUGAGAGGGACACGCGGGGCAUCGGCCACUGAGACCAGCUCUCGGGAAGGCGCUCCGCGCGGAGGAUCUCGAGCCCGAAAACCUGCUGGCAGCGGCGUCGCCCG
rnacentral:ncRNA from 2 species